rnacentral:rRNA from 1 species
GACGAACGCUGGCGGCGUGCUUAACACAUGCAAGUCGAACGGAAAGGCCCUGCUUUUGUGGGGUGCUCGAGUGGCGAACGGGUGAGUAACACGUGAGUAACCUGCCCUUGACUUUGGGAUAACUUCAGGAAACUGGGGCUAAUACCGGAUAGGAGCUCCUGCUGCAUGGUGGGGGUUGGAAAGUUUCGGCGGUUGGGGAUGGACUCGCGGCUUAUCAGCUUGUUGGUGGGGUAGUGGCUUACCAAGGCUUUGACGGGUAGCCGGCCUGAGAGGGUGACCGGCCACAUUGGGACUGAGAGACGGCCCAGACUGCUACGGGAGGCAGCAGUGGGGAAUAUUGCACAAUGGGCGGAAGCCUGAUGCAGCAACGCCGCGUGCGGGAUGACGGCCUUCGGGUUGUAAACCGCUUUAGCCUGUGACGAAGCGUGAGUGACGGUAAUGGGUAAAGAAGCACCGGCUAACUACGUG